rnacentral:rRNA from 1 species
AACGAACGCUGGCGGCAGGCCUAACACAUGCAAGUCGAACGAGAUCUUCGGGUCUAGUGGCGCACGGGUGCGUAACGCGUGGGAAUCUGCCCUUUGGUUCGGAAUAACAGUUGGAAACGACUGCUAAUACUGGAUGAUGACGAAAGUCCAAAGAUUUAUCGCCAGAGGAUGAGCCCGUGUAGGAUUAGCAGGGUGGUGUGGAAAAGGCGCACCAAGGCGACGAUCCUUAGCUGGUCGGAGAGGAUGAUCAGCCACACUGGGACUGAGACACGGCCCAGACUCCUACGGGAGGCAGCAGUGGGGAAUAUUGGAAAAUGGGCGAGAGCCUGAUCCAGCAAUGCCGCGUGAGUGAUGAAGGCCUUAGGGUUGUAAAGCUCUUUUACCCGGGAUGAUAAUGACAGUACCGGGAGAAUAAGCUCCGGCUAACUCCGUGCCAGCCGCCGCCGUAAGAC